AUUGAACGCUGGCGGCAUGCCUUACACAUGCAAGUCGAACGGCAACAGGCCGCAAGGUGCUGACGAGUGGAGAACGGGUGAGUAAUGCAUCAGAACGUGCCCAGACGUGGGGGAUAACGCAGCGAAAGCUGCGCUAAUACCGCAUACGAUAUCUGGAUGAAAGCGGGGGACCGCAAGGCCUCGCGCGACUGGAGCGGCCGGUGUCAGAUUAGGCAGUUGGUGGGGUAAAGGCUCACCAAGCCAACGAUCUGUAGCUGGUCUGAGAGGACGACCAGCCACACUGGGACUGAGACACGGCCCAGACUCCUACGGGAGGCAGCAGUGGGGAAUUUUGGACAAUGGGCGCAAGCCUGAUCCAGCAAUGCCGCGUGCAGGAAGAAGGCCUUCGGGUUGUAAACUGCUUUUGUACGGAACGAAACGGUCCUGGUUAAUACCCGGGGCUAAUGACAGUACCUGAAGAAUAAGCACCGGCCAACUACGUGCCAGCCGCCGCAGUAACAC
rnacentral:rRNA from 1 species